CUGGGUUUUUUUUUUGGCACUAUCGUUUGUCUAAUUCUUUUUAAGCCAUGACGUUGUCGGUUUAUUUUCGACUUUUGGGUUUUAAUGUCGCUCUCGUGCAAGGAUACUUUUUUCUUGCACAGAUCAGAGACAUAUAAUACAAUAUGUCUCUGCACAGAUGUAACAUACUAAAAUUUGAAAAACUAUUUCAGUUAAAAAUAAAAAAUAAGUUGAAAAAGCUUUGCAAAUUCAUCAGGGUUAUAACUUUUCAAGUGAGUCUUCCUGGUUAAUCACCAC
rnacentral:lncRNA from 1 species